UGGAAACCAAAGUUUUUUGAGAACAGAAAUACUGUCUGUCAGUUCAUAUAAUCAAUAAAAUUAUCUGUAACAUUUUCUUUACUGACAUGCAUUAUUAUGCACGGUAGGCACCCAGCUGGUGAGCCGAGGUUCUAAGUGUAGAGUUCUUGACCAGGAAACAAUAAUGUCAGUGAGAUGGAGAGCGGGACAGCCAAUUUAAAUGCCAAAUGCUUUUUCAGUGCAAUAGAUUGUCAUUAAUUCUUCCUGUGUGGCCCCAAUGGGUUGAUUACUAGCAAAGAUUUAUUACUUGGACUGCUAUCUUUCAAAAUGGAUGCAUCAUGCUUCUAUUUGAGACAACACUGAAAAAAAACUCCGUAACAUUUGGAUGGAUAGAUUUAAAGUACAGUAAGUCACCAUGCAGGGGAUCUGAGACACAUAAGUGGAUUUGAAGCAACACAGCAACUAAAAACAGGACCAGAAAAUGGCCUCCAGUCUAAAGUGUCUGACUAUUCAAGUUUAUCUUUAAUCUCACAUGCCUGCUGUUUUCACAUACUCCAAAUACGUCUUUAAGAAAACAAAAAAAAUUGGAUGUAUUUCAUAUUGAUUAUCGUCUGUUUAAAUGAGGUUUUGUUUAAAUCCAUUUAACUCUCGGUUUGUUUCUUCUAUAUAUCUAACCUAGAGAUAAGGCCACUCUUCUGUUCAACAGUGAUAUAGCUUCCCCCUCCCCACCCAAAAAAAAAGGAAAAAAAAAUUUAAUCAAUUUUCGUUGUGUGGUGGCAUGAAUAUUUGUAGCAAUACAAAAGAAGGAUGGAACCACUUUUUCCACCCUUGAUUUUGGCUUAAAUGUUGACCAAAUAUUUGCCCUAGGCAUUGGCAAAUCCACACAAAAGAAAAAAACUUAUUUAAUUGUUAGAAAAAAAGUUCAGAGGAAGCAGGAGUGUCUCAAAACGUUCCAUAUGUUGAAGCCAAUACAUCGUUGAACAUAAAUCAGAAAUAAAGUGAGCUUCAUUAUGCCUGGUGCUUCA
rnacentral:lncRNA from 1 species